GACCACCAGCGGCGGCGGCGGCGCCGGCGGGAAGGAUAAGGACAGGGACAGGGACAGGGCCAGGGGCUCCGCGGUCUCCUUCACGGAGGGCGAGAAGGUGCUCGCCUACCACGGCCCGCUCCUCUACGAGGCCAAGGUUCAAAAAACUGAAAAUCGGGAGGACGAGUGGCGGUAUUUCGUCCAUUAUCUUGGAUGGAAUAAAAAUUGGGAUGAAUGGGUCGCAAGUGAUCGUUUAUUGAAGUUGACUGAAGAGAAUGUUCGCAAACAACUAGAACUGAAAAAUCAGUCAGGGGACAAAACCGUCAGGACCGGUGGACGGUCAGCACAUAACCCAAAAGGCUCUAAUGCAGAUGCAAAAGCCGAUAAAGAGGACACUAAGGGUCUUGUCAAGGGGAAGAAGCGCAAGAAUCAGCUUGGCGUUGAGGAAAAGGAAAGAAGGUCAUCAGAGAGUCUCCUCAUGUCACAGUUUCCCGUAACACUAAAGAAGCAACUUGUUGAUGAUUGGGAGUUUGUCACGCAGCUGGGUAAGCUUGUAAAACUACCUCGAUCGCCCACUGUGGAUGAUAUUCUAACGAAGUAUUUGGAGUAUCGGGUAAAGAAGGAUAACAAGAUAAGUGACUCUUGUGCUGAGGUAACAAAAGGAUUACGCUGUUACUUCGAUAAAGCAUUGCCUGCCAUGCUUUUAUACAAGAAAGAGCAAAAGCAGUAUAAGGAAGAAAUUAAAGGUGACGUUUCACCCUCAACUGUAUAUGGAGCUGAGCAUCUACUACGCCUGUUUGUGAAACUACCAGAGCUACUUUCUUCUGUGAAUAUGGAAGAAGAUGCACUCAACAAACUGCAGCAGAAAUUACUGGACAUUCUCAAGUUUCUGCAGAAGAACCAAGUCCAUUUCUUCCUUUCUGCGUACGACGGCGAUUCCAAAGGCGCCGACGGGGCAAAAGGCAAAUAGAAGCAAACGUUGGUGUCUGUAUGUCGGAUGCGCCAUCCACUGCUGGAUUUGUACUGCGUAGCUCACACCUCAUAGUCUGGUUGUUGCUUGGAUGUGGAUGUUUUGUGGGAUGUGUGACCCGUGACCGCCGAUCGCCGCUCUGCUUGCUAACAACAAGUUCAUGUAGCUGACCUGUCCAACAUCACUGUUGGCCUAGGUACAAAAUCCUUGCAUUUGUGUGGUGCCCCUGAGACUGUCCUACAUCAGUUCACUAGUGUACAUUUGCAGAAUCUCUCUGUUUUCUUGCCAACUCUGAAUAAUUUCCUUCUUUGAACAACACCAAAUUGCGAGUGCCGCCUCUAUUCCCGUGUGCGGAUCGUAUUAGUUUUUGUUUUGGUUUUUGGGAGGAGCAGGGAGUAUUAGUUUUCGUUAGGACAAGGUCUGGCCCAAGAAUUACCUAUGUGGUUUAUAUGGCAUGAUUGGUAUCGCUAGAUCUUUUUUAAAGUGC
rnacentral:rRNA from 1 species